GUGGGAUUGCCAUAAACUAAAGAAUCUCUGGUUGAAAAUACAGCAUUUUAUAUCCAAUAAUUUAAAACUCGAGUUGAUAAUUUCUCCAGAGGUAGUUCUAUUGCAUCUGAAUUGGCCUCAUAUGAGUUAAAAGCAAUUCUUAUACAUCUUUUUUUAGCUGCUAAAAUAGUAAUUGCGAGAUGGUGGAAAAAGGAUUUAGAAGUCCC